rnacentral:rRNA from 1 species
AGCGAACGCUGGCGGCAGGCUUAACACAUGCAAGUCGAGGGGCCGUAGCAAUACGGCACCGGCAGACGGGAGAGUAACACGUGGGAACGUGCCCAUCAGUUCGGAACAACCCAGGGAAACUUGGGCUAAUACCGGAUACGCCCUUACGGGGAAAGAUUUAUCGCUGAUGGAGCGGCCCGCGUCUGAUUAGCUAGUUGGCGAGGUAACGGCUCACCAAGGCGACGAUCAGUAGCUGGUCUGAGAGGAUGAUCAGCCUCACUGGGACUGAAACACGGCCCAGACUCCUACGGGAGGCAGCAGUGGGGAAUAUUGGACAAUGGGCGCAAGCCUGAUCCAGCCAUGCCGCGUGGAUGAUGAAGGCCUUAGGGUUGUAAAAUCCUUUCGGCGGGGAAGAUAGUGACGGUACCCGCAGAAGAAGCCCCGGCUAACUUCGUGCCAGCCGCCGCAGUAAAAC